rnacentral:lncRNA from 1 species
CUAACCUUUUGUUUUAUAAUAAUAAUUAACAUUUUAUCACUUUGGGUAAAAUAUAGAGACUUUUGAACCUUAUAGCUUCCUUUAUUCUUCACCAUUUAUGUUACAAUUUUCACAUGUAUUAAUCUAUAUACAUUGAAAACCCUACCAGACAAUGUUAUAGUUUCUACUUUUGACAGUCAUGCAUAUUUUAAAAACACUUAAAAGGGGAAAAUUAUCUAUUAUACAUUUUUAUCAUAAACAUAACCUGAUUUAAAUCGCACAACCUGAAAUUCAUUGUUUCCUUUCUUUCUGUUUCCCCUUCCUACUUUCUAAGAUUUGUGGAAACACUGAGCUCAACCUGUCGUUACUCAAAUCUUUACUAUUUUUGUUUCCUAUUUUAUGCAACAUCCAAGUUAAAUAGCCUCUCUCUUAUGACACUGUUGAUGGGAAUGUAAAUUGGUGCAGUCUCUUUUGAGGACAAUUUAACUCUGCUUAUCCUAUUUGUAAAAUGCAUAGUCCUUUUGAUCCAGCAAUUCUAAUUCUAUGAAUUUAUCUUACAGGUAUGCUAUGGUCUGAAUGUUUGUGUCUCCUCAAAAUUCAUGUGGUAAAAUCUGAAUCCCCAAAGUGAUGGUAGUAGCAGGUGGGGCCUUUGGGAGGUGAUUAUGUAAUGAGAAUGGAGCCCUCAAGAAUGGAAUUAAUGUUCUUAUGGAAAGAACUCAUAAGAGAACUCUUGCCGCACCAUGUGAAGACACAGCAAAGGUUUUGGUAUGCCAUCCUGAGAGGAAAAUGUCUCAAACAUCCUUUGCUACUCUAAGUGUGAUUCCUGGACAAGAAAUACCAGCAUUACCUCGGAACUUGUUAGAAAUGCAAAAUAUCAGGCCCAAAUCCAGAGGUAAGGAGUUACCACCUGCAGUAUAACAAGACACCCAGGUGAUUCUAUGGAUCUAAAGACUGAGAAUUGUUGUUUUAAGCUAGAGUGAACAGGAGUGUAUAGUUUGAAAAUGCUUUUUUAUAGUUAUUUACAUGUUUUUUGAAAACAGCAUUACUGAGCUAUAUUUCACAUACCAAACAAUUCACCCACUUAAAGUGUGUUAUUCAGUGGUUUUUAAUAUAUUCAGAGUUGUGCAAUCAUCACCACAGUCCAUUUUAGAACACUUUCAUCUCCCCAACAAGAAAUCCAAUAGCCACAGCUGUUAUUCUCCAUUUCCCCUUCAUCCCUAGGAAACUGCUAAUUUACUUUCUGUCUCUAUGGAUUUGCCUGUCCAAGACAUUCCAUCCAUAUAAAUGGAAUCAUACAAUAUGUGGUGUUUUGUG